AGUGAACGCUGGCGGCGUGCCUAACACAUGCAAGUCGAACGAUGAUGGAGAGCUUGCUCUCCUGAUUAGUGGCGCACGGGUGAGUAUACCAUAGAUAAUGUACCUCUUAGUUCGGGAUAGCCACUGGAACCGGUGAUUAAUACCGGAUACACCUUCUUGUCUUAAGACAAGUCGGGAAAGUUUUUUCGCUAAGAGAUCAGUCUAUGUCCUAUCAGCUAGUUGGUGAGGUAAUGGCUCACCAAGGCUAUGACGGGUAUCUGGUUUGAGAGGAUGGGCAGACACACUGGAACUGAGAAACGGUCCAGACUCCUACGGGAGGCAGCAGUGAGGAAUAUUGCACAAUGGAGGAAACUCUGAUGCAGCAACGCCGCGUGGAGGAUGACGCAUUUCGGUGUGUAAACUCCUUUUAAGAGGGAAGAUAAUGACGGUACCUCUUGAAUAAGCACCGGCUAACUCCGUGCCAGCAGCCGCCGUAAUAC
rnacentral:rRNA from 1 species